AGCGAACGCUGGCGGCGUGCCUAAUACAUGCAAGUCGAACGAAGUGGCGCACGGGUGUGUAAUAUACAGUUAUUCUCCCCUUCACAGAGGAACAACAGUUGGAAACGACUGCUAAUAUCUCAUAGUGUAGGAUGGGACUAUAUCGUAUCAGCUAGUUGGUAAGGUAAUGGCUUUCCAAGGCUAUGACGGGUAACUGGUCUGAGAGGAUGAUCAGUCACAUUGGAGCUGAGACACGGUGCAAACUCCUACGGGAGGCGGCAGUAGGGAAUAUUGCGGAAGGGGCGAAGCCCAGACGCAGCAACGGGGCGUGGAGGAUGACACUUUUCGGGGCAUAAACUCCUUUUAUCAGGAAAGCGGUACCUGAUGAAUAAGCACCGGCUAACUCCGUGCCAGCAGCCGCGGUAAUAC
rnacentral:rRNA from 1 species